UAUGAAAAAUAAUUCAUCAAACUCAUUCGAUAGACAAAAAUAAAUCAUAACACAAGAAUUGUCAUAUAGAUCUCUACUCAUCCCUAACAUCGGGAAAAAUGAUAUGCUGAUAAUGUUUGACAAACCAAAAUAAGAGUGUUAAGAAUUACACAUAAAGAACAAAAAUUGUAGAAUCCAACUCUGGUUUCCUAGAUUGAAUCACCAAAUCUUGAGCUCCCAAGAUUACAAAAAGGAGAUUAUCUAUCUCCCAAACUUCAGACCCCUUGCAAAAUCUCAAAUUUUAGCUUAAGUAGGCAUUCUAGUAGAAAUUGUACUACCUGGCCUAGCAUUAUGGCGCCAAACAUGCCAUGUUGAUUAUGCACAAGCAAAGGUUUAAAGUUCAAGGAAUGCUUGAAGUAUCAAAUAAAAAUGCAUAUGAGUGGCAGUUAAUUCACUGAGCAAGCAAGAGAUGAGCAUGUAGUGAGCCAAGUCAAAAUAUUGAGGAAAAUUAGGACAUGCAAUUUUUUUAAGUGAGCCUAAAGAGAGAUUAAAGUGACGUCAGAGAGACAAGGGUGAAUUGCAAGAGAAGAUUCACUAAGCGAGAACUAAUUCUCUUAACGAUUCAAGGCGAUAUACAUGACAUCAGAGAUGAACUGGCAAUUACUUCAUAAUGAAGAAACCUCAAUUCAUUAAACGAGUACUCGUUCACUUAAGUGAAUCUUCACUUUUGUUAAAGAAGUAGUGCCGAUGAGAGAGAGUGAUCGGACCAUAUUUUGUUUAAUUUAUGUUUUCUCUUUUGUUAUUUUCCUUCUUAUGUCUUUAUUUUUUUUUUGUCUAAUGU
rnacentral:lncRNA from 1 species